rnacentral:rRNA from 1 species
UCUGGUUGAUCCUGCCAGUAGUCAUAUGCUUGUCUCAAAGAUUAAGCCAUGCAUGUGUAAGUAUAAGUAUUAUACGGCGAAACUGCGAAUGGCUCAUUAAAUCAGUUAUAAUUUAUUUGAUAAUCGAAAGUUACAUGGAUAACCGUGACAAAUUACAGCUAAUACAUGCAGUUAGACCUGGCUCAAGGGUCGUAAUUAUUAGUACUAAACCAUUUCCGCAAGGAAUGUGAUGAUUCAUAGUAAUCGAACGAAUCGCAGGUAUAUGCGAUAAAUCAUUCAAGUUUCUGCCCUAUCAGCUUUGGAUGGUAGUGUAUUGGACUACCAUGGCAGUCACGGGUAACGGAGAAUUAGGGUUCGAUUCCGGAGAGGGAGCCUGAGAAACGGCUACCACAUCUACGGAAGGCAGCAGGCGCGAAAAUUGCCCAAUCCUGACACGGGGAGGCAGUGACAAGAAAUAACAACUCUAGGUUAUUCUAAGAAGUGUAAUGAGGAUAAUUUACAACCCUUACCGAAAGCAAUUGGAGGGCAAGUCUGGUGCCAGCAGCCGCGGUAAUUCCAGCUCCAAUAGCGUAUAUUAAAGUUGUUGCAGUUAAAAAGCUCGUAGUUGAAGUUCUGGCUGAUCGAUCCUCGAGCUCUGUAGCCGAGGACUCGUCAGUCAUCCGCUUGCAAAUAUAUGUUCGCCUUUAACCGGGUGGCUAUAUGAGUAAGCAAUUUACCUUGAGAAAAACAGAGUGUUCCAGGCAGGUUUGUCCGGAAUGCAUUAGCAUGGAAUAAUAGAAUAUGACUGAAGUCUAUUUAUUGGUUUAAGGCUUUAGUAAUGAUUAAUAGGAACAGUCGGGGGCAUUCGUACUCAGCAGUCAGAGGUGAAAUUCUAAGAUUUGCUGAAGACGAACUAAUGCGAAAGCAUUUGCCAAGGAUGUUUUCAUUAAUCAAGAACGAAAGUUAGGGGAUCAAAGACGAUCAGAUACCGUCCUAGUCUUAACUAUAAACGAUACCGACUCGGAUUCAGAUGAAUCAUAAAGUUCAUUUGGGACCGUAGGAGAAAUCAAAGUCUUUGGGUUCUGGGGGGAGUAUGGUCGCAAGGCUGAAACUUAAAGGAAUUGACGGUUUUGCACCACCAUGGAGUGGAGUUUGCGGCUUAAUUUGACUCAACACUGGGAAACUCAUCAGGGCAAGAAGAUUUUAGGAUUGACAGAUUGAGAGUUCUUUCUUGAUUGGUCUAGUGGUGGUGCAUGGCCGUUCUUAGUUGGUGGAGUGAUUUGUCUGGUUAAUUCCGUUAACGAACGAGACCUUAACCUGCUAACUAGUGUUUCGAUUCAUAAUCGAAAGCACUUCUUAGAGGGACUAUGUGAUGUAAUCACAUGGAAGUUUGAGGCAAUAACAGGUCUGUGAUGCCCUUAGAUGUCCUGAGCUGCACGCGUACUACAAUGGCACUUUCAACGAGUUUUUCCUGAUCCGAAAGGAUUUGGGUAAUCUUUUUAGUGAGUGCCGUGCUUGGGAUAGAUCUUUGUAAUUGUGGAUCUUGAACUAGGAAUUCCUAGUAAGCGCGAGUCAUCAGCUCGUGCUGAUUACGUCCCUGCAAAAUGUACACACCGCCCGUCGCUUUUACCGAUUGAGUGUUCAGGUGAGUCUUCUUGAUAAUGUCAAAGUUAGAAAUUAAACAAACCUUAGCACUUAGAGGAAAAAGAAGUCGUAACAAGGUUUCCGUAGGUGAACCUGCGGAAG